GCAUUAUUUGACACCACUGCCUUUCGCAAUCUUUUUCUUUUGUUUCUGACAAACUCCAAGGCCUCCUGGGCUUUGUGGUCAAAGCUGAGUUGGACUCUUCUGCAGGGGAGGAAAGGGAAGUAGUAAGGGUGUCCCCAAACAUGCCAAACACUUGGGUGACAGAGACCAAGCCUUCUGGAAACAAUACUGCUGGGUUCCCACAGAAGUAGCAAGAGGGCCAACAAAAAAAAAAAAAGAAAAAUCACCUUUGGCUCCCUCACAGCACCUCACAGCAGUGUUAUACCUUUUUCCUUUUUUGCUCUUUUUUUUUUUUUUUUUUUUUUUAGUGAAGGAGAGGCUGAGCCUGCACACCCACACCAAAAUGCUUUUGAUAUUUGGAGAUCUACAGGAAUGGGUCACUACUCUGGCCAGUUUGUUGUUGUCUACCGUGGCUGUUGCAAGACUCAAAGAGAGAUGACUGCAGGGCAGGUGAAGGGAUCUGCAAAUGUCAUGUGCUGUCAUCUUUCCACUGGGUUGCAUCUGAGACCUCAAAGGCUCUGUGUUGGGUCAGCUUUCCCCAUGGUGGCAAAGUCCCUGGAAACAAAGAGGAAGUUGAACACGGACAUCACCUCUGCCCUGGAGUCACAUGCUGAACCCUGGGGACCACCACACACCCUUCAGGUACCAUCAGUUACAUCCCUUCUGCUGUGA
rnacentral:lncRNA from 1 species